rnacentral:rRNA from 1 species
CGCCAGACUCCUACGGGAGGCAGCAGUGGGGAAUCUUGCGCAAUGGGCGGAAGCCUGACGCAGCGACGCCGCGUGCGGGACGAAGGCCUUCGGGUCGUAAACCGCUUUCAGCAGGGACGAGGCCCUCACGGUGACGGUACCUGCAGAAGAAGCCCCGGCUAACUCCGUGCCAGCAGCCGCGGUAAUACGGAGGAUGCGAGCGUUAUCCGGAUUUAUUGGGUUUAAAGGGUGCGCAGGCGGAGGUGCAAGUCAGCGGUCAAAUUGCGGGGCUCAACCCCGUACUGCCGUUGAAACUGCAUCCCUUGAGUGCGCGAGAAGUAUGCGGAAUGCGUGGUGUAGCGGUGAAAUGCAUAGAUAUCACGCAGAACUCCGAUUGCGAAGGCAGCAUACCGGCGCGCAACUGACGCUCAUGCACGAAAGCGUGGGUAUCGAACAGGAUUAGAUACCCCCGUA